rnacentral:rRNA from 1 species
GAUAAACGCUGGCGGCGUGCCUUAGGCAUGCAAGUCGAAUGGGUCCCGACGCAAGUCGGGAUCAAUGGCGGACGGGUGAGUAUAAGUAAGGUAUCUACCUUGAAGUGGAGGACAUCUCGUCGAAAGACGGGGUAAUCCUGCAUAUUAUCGCAAGAUCAAAGAGCAUAACUGCUCGCUUUAAGAGGAGCCUUACACUUAUCAGCUUGUUGGUAGGGUAACGGCCUACCAAGGCUAUGACGAGUAGGGGACGUGAGAGCGUGUACCCCCACAAUGGCACUGAGAUACGGGCCAUACACCUACGGGAGGCUG